rnacentral:lncRNA from 1 species
GAUGAUUUAAUAAAAUGUGAAUGAUGGAGCUCAUGGAUGCGAACUUGAUGCACUUACAUGCUAUGUUCAUACCGGUGGAGUCAUGGAGCUUAUGUUUACCUAUUUGCACUCGUGAACUUGCUUUUGGCUCCGAAUUUGUUGGAUAUAUAUGUAUGCACUUGGUGGAGAUAUCUAUAUAUUGUUGGAUAUAUAUGUAUGCACUUGAUGGAU